AAUGCCCAUGGAAUCCAAGAGUGCAAGUUAGGCAAUUCUGUUUGAAAGAGCAUAUGCAUACCACUUACAAAGUGUUCAAGGCUGACCCACACAAACCACUUCCAGUAUAAACAAAGGACACCAGCUCCUUUAAAAAGUGCAAACUCAGCAUCUUAUGUAACAGUGAGUGAGUUCAGUUUUACCACGCCGUUUUUCUUAUGUAACAAGGUCUUUUUAUCAAGAAUGAGUGAGAGACUGCUUCUUUAGCAUCACCAGCAAAAUAGCAACUCUGUGUGUCAUAGCUAUUGAAACACUGCAUAAAGAAAAGAAAACCAGAAAACAGAUUUUUCAAACAAAAAUUUCUCCAACUGGACAAGUCACUAUCUGCAACUUCAUGGUUUUAGCAAGAUGUCCACACAUGUAAGUGAGUGAGUGAGUGAGUUUAGU